GACGAACGCUGGCGGCGUGCCUAAUACAUGCAAGUAGAACGCUGAAGGAGGAGCUUGCUUCUCUGGAUGAGUUGCGAACGGGUGAGUAACGCGUAGGUAACCUGCCUUGUAGCGGGGGAUAACUAUUGGAAACGAUAGCUAAUACCGCAUAAUAGCAGUUGUUGCAUGAUAACUGUUUGAAAGGUGCAAUUGCACCACUACCAGAUGGACCUGCGUUGUAUUAGCUAGUUGGUGGGGUAACGGCUCACCAAGGCGACGAUACAUAGCCGACCUGAGAGGGUGAUCGGCCACACUGGGACUGAGACACGGCCCAGACUCCUACGGGAGGCAGCAGUAGGGAAUCUUCGGCAAUGGACGGAAGUCUGACCGAGCAACGCCGCGUGAGUGAAGAAGGGUUUCGGAUCGUAAAGCUCUGUUGUAAGAGAAGAACGAGUGUGAGAGUGGAAAGUUCACACUGUGACGGUAUCUUACCAGAAAGGGACGGCUAACUACGUG
rnacentral:rRNA from 1 species